rnacentral:tRNA from 1 species
CAGUAUAUAUUUUAAAUAAAAUAUUAAUUUUGGAAAUUAAUGAUAAUAUAAUUUUUAUAUUUAUACUGA